CCUGCCUACGGGGGGCAGCAGUGAGGAAUAUUGGUCAAUGGGCGAGAGCCUGAACCAGCCAAGUCGCGUGAAGGAUGACGGCCCUACGGGUUGUAAACUUCUUUUGUCAGGGAGCAAUUGGGUCCACGCGUGGGCUUAGCGAGAGUACCUGAAGAAAAAGCAUCGGCUAACUUCGUGCCAGCAGCCGCGGUAAUACGGAGGAUGCGAGCGUUAUCCGGAUUUAUUGGGUUUAAAGGGUGCGCAGGCGGGAGAUCAAGUCAGCGGUAAAAUGUCGGGGCUCAACCCCGGCCGGCCGUUGAAACUGG
rnacentral:rRNA from 1 species